UAUUGUUUGUUUUGACUCUACUAAGCCUUUUCCUAGCUCGUUUGUGAGAACCAGUUAUAACCUUCAGUCCUAGUUUUGAUUCACGUGCCCGUUUGCCUAACUGUGUAUGAUCAUUGCCUGCCUGUGACCACGAUUCCUGCCUUCUGCAAAGGUGAAAUAAACACCUACCCUGCUCUGCGCUUGUAUCUACACCUUUUUCUCCCUGAGUAUUCACUACAGAAUACCUCACCUAAAAUGGAAUGGAUUCAGCGGAGCUACAACAGUGCCUAACCCAACAAGAGGAGCGUAAACUGCCAUCCUCUCCACCAGCCUAUCCCUACUCCUCCCAUGACAAGUAUCGUAACCCAACAAGAGGAGCGUAUGGAGGGAAUCUGCCAUCCUCUCCACCAGCCUAUCCCUACUCCAAUGACAGGCAAAGCCCUGGAUUGGGCCUUCUUCAUACGGACUGCCAAAAGCACAACUCUGCUCCAAGACCCAUUUCCACACCCUCUUCAAAGAGGUAUUCGAUCCCUCUCCUUCCGGUCGUCCUAUAGGAGACCUCCUCAUAGAACUUCAACAAAGAGGCUGCAGGGAGUGGAUGGUCUGAGGCUGUUUUACUUACCGUCUACCGAAGAGGGCUCAACACGGAACUUCAGGCAGCGCUGGCCUGUAGAGGUGACCUUCAGGAUUUAAAUACAUUCAUAUCUCCAUCGACCACCUCAUCGCCGACUGCCGAAGAACUCUGCCACCCAGGAACCCGACACCUUCUCUUUCCAUGAUUCCAUCAUCUGAGCCCAUGCAGUUGGGCCAUGAUAAACUUUCCCUGAAUGACGUCACGGUCCAACCAUGUCCCCCAUCCUCUGAUCCCAGUGGGCCGCCCCAAAAUCUAUACAAAACUCGACCUGCCAGGUUCAUAUAACCUUGUCCGUGGAAUUCAUGAAGGCAACGAAUGGAAGACUGCCUUCAUCACCGCACUACAAAUACCUGGUCAUACACUACGGCCUUACUAAUGCCCCCGCCGUCUUCCAAUCCUUUAUGAACAAGGUUUUCCAGGGUAUGAUCAACCGCUUUCUCAUCGUCUACAUUGAUGACAUCCUGAUUUAAUCCCUGAAGGAACACAUGUGCAAAAGGUUCUUCAAUGGCUCCUUGACCAUGUUUUGUGUUCUUGAACGUAGCCUGUCUUUCAUUUUUGUUCAUUGAUUUCACCUGUUACUCACCUGGUCUCAUCAGCUCCUUAAGUUCAGUUCAUUCUGUUUGUACCUUCGUGAAGUAUUGUUUGUUUUGCUUCUACUAAGCCUUUUUUCUUGCUCAUUUGUGAGAACCAGUUACAGCCUUCAGUCCCAGUUGAUUCACCUACCUGUGUAUGACCAUUGCCUACCUGUGACCACGAUUCAUGCCUUCUGCAGAGGCGAAAUAAACACCUGCAUUGCUAUGCGGGUGAAUCUA